rnacentral:lncRNA from 1 species
AAUGGAUACAGGUUCCCUUACAGCUAGUCUGAACGACAGGUUCAGCUCUGAGAUCCUCUGUAGAUGGUGCACCCUGCAACAUCUUGUGCUGCUGAGGUUGGGCCAAGGUGAAGAACAGUGGGAUCAUGGGAAAGAAAUGUAUUAGAAGCUGGAUGGGGUUGGAGCAAGGGUGAUGGACCUGAGUUCCUACGAUUCCUAGAAUGCACAUGAAAAACCUAAGGCCAGGCUGGUGAGUUUGUUGAGCAGAUAAAGGCACUUGCUUCCCAACCUGGAACCUAUGUACAGGUGGAAGGAGAGAACCAACUCCACAAAGUCAUUCUAUUGAAACCCUGGUGGUUCACGCCCCCCCACAUAACACAUGCACACAUAUAACACACACACACAUAACACACACACAUAUAACACACACACAUAACACACACACACACAUAUAACACACACACACAUAACACACACACACACACAUAACACACACACACAUAACACACACACACAUAAC